GGAGGGGUGGCCGAGUGGCUGAAGGCGGCGGUUUGCUAAACCGUUAUAGGGUUAUAAGCCCUAUCGAGGGUUCGAAUCCCUUCCCCUCCGCCA
rnacentral:tRNA from 1 species